UCGGAAUUACUGGGCGUAAAGGGCGCUUAGGCGGCACUGUUAGUCAGGCGUGAAAGUCCUGGGCUCAACCUGGGAACUGCGCUUGAUACGGCAGAGCUAGAGGAUGGAAGAGGCUCGCGGAAUUCCCAGUGUAGAGGUGAAAUUCGUAGAUAUUGGGAAGAACACCGGUGGCGAAGGCGGCGAGCUGGUCCAUUACUGACGCUGAGGCGCGACAGCGUGGGGAGCAAACAGG
rnacentral:rRNA from 1 species